rnacentral:rRNA from 1 species
AUGGAGGCCCUAGCUCAAGGCGGCGAGUUGCAGAGUGAGGCCAACCAGCUUGUGAAGGGAGUCAAUCUAUUAGUUGCUACGCCGGGCAGGCUUCUGGACCAUCUGAAAAGUACCGGUGGUUUCAACUACAAAGGGCUAAAGUCUAUCCUUUUUCUUGUCCAGGACUGGAAGUGUCUACCUGUUAAUACUGAAUUAGAUAUGUUGCAGUGCCUUAUAAUUGAUGAAGUUGACCACAUACUUGAGCAAAAUUUCGAGGAGGACAUGAAACAAAUAUUUACCUCCCUCAGGCUCAAAAUGUUAGUGGAUCUGUUAUUCAACCUAUUCAAACUUCCCCCAAUUUCCCUGUCAUCCCACAGGUUGAAGAUAUUGCAAAUUUUACGUUUGGGAAAAAGAAAUAAGGACACCGAAAACUUGUUUAUGUUGGAGUAG